CAAUCUUCGGGGACGCGCAGCUCUCUCUGGUACCACCCCCUUCCCCAUUUCGGUCUCUCUCUCCUUAUUUCUCCUUCUCUUGCAGUGUGAUGUGUGGUCAUAUGACAGGGUCUGAAUACCAACACACUCGACAUGAGCGAGGAGGCGUAAACCGGAGAAAACAAGUGGCUAAGUGUGUGUCGCGGACACUGAGAGAGAGUGAGCAGUUACUGGGGAACGCCUAUCUGACUGAAACUGCGGAGAAGAAAAUUAGUUUAAAGCAACGGGGGACACUAACUAACUAACUUUAACUAGACUUUAGGCAUAUCCAACACAGCGAAGUUAAAAAAAUAUAUAUAUUUACAAAUCGCCUCGCAUUAUUGCUUUCCCCUUUUCAGAGCGCUGUGUGCCAAAUCUCAGAAUCGGAAGAGGCUGGGGCUUGAGGAAGCAGUUUGGACAUAACUUUAAAAUAAAAGUAUAAUUUUUUGUUAAGCGUCAUUCUAGAGCGUCGGCCCUGAUUUUGGCUGGUAAACUUGAGUGGUGAGUUUGACAAUGGUCGGUGAGAUGAGUGAGCAGGUCCGGGAAAGACCCAGACCAAGGCCCAGCCCGGACUACCUGAUGCAGUUGAUGACAGACCGGAAGGUGAUGAGCUCGCUGCCCAACUUCACUGGCAUCUUCACUCACCUGGAGCGGCUCUUAGACGAAGAGAUAGGUAGAGUGCGCAAGGACAUGUAUAACGACUCAAUGAAUGGCGGUGUGGCUGCCGAGGGGCGGGACUCCGAGGAGCUGCCUGAUGGGAUUGGUCCAGUGGCUCAGCUGCAGGAGAAGCUCUACGUGCCCGUUAAAGAGUACCCCGACUUUAACUUUGUAGGUAGGAUACUGGGUCCAAGGGGUCUAACAGCCAAACAGCUGGAGGCAGAGACGGGCUGUAAGAUCAUGGUACGAGGAAAAGGAUCCAUGAGAGACAAGAAGAAGGAAGAGCUGAACAGAGGGAAACCUAACUGGGAACACCUGAGUGAGGAACUUCAUGUUCUCAUCACAGUGGAAGACUCACACAACAGAGCUCAGAUCAAACUACAAAGAGCUACCGCAGAGGUCAAGAAACUACUCGUACCAGCUGCUGAUGGAGAGGACAGUCUAAAAAAGAUGCAGCUAAUGGAGCUCGCCAUUCUCAACGGAACCUACAGAGACGCCAACAUCAAGCAACCCACUAUGGCCUUCUCCCUAGCCUCCUCUCAGCAGCCUCGGCUCAUCUCCAGCCCCUCCCCUGUCAUGCAGCAGGCUAUGCGAAGCCCCGCCCCUGGUCAACAGCCCAACCUCAUGCCUCACCUGAUUCGUCAGAUCCAGAGUCAGCAGGCCCUCAUGCAAGGAGCCAAUCAGCAUGCAGCACUGAUGCAGCAAUCACCUGAAUCAGGAGGGUUCUUCUACGCUCCCUACGAAUAUUCCCCCUACACCCUAACUCCAUCUAUACUAGAAUACCCCAUGGACACUACUGGUGUACUAGGUAUGGCUUUCCAAACCAAAGGCUGAGAGAUGAACUCUCUCCUACACAUGGACCUCUCUCACACACACACACACACACACACACACACACACACACACACACACACACACACACACACACACACACACACAGGAAAGGCUUAUCUGAAAUGGGCCUCUUGUCUGUCUGUCUUAAUGAUUCUGUCACUGUUUGAUGAUGUCAUUGUUAACCUCCUGUGUUUUGGUGAUGUGGUUGCGCGGUGAGCAGGAGCGAUGACGGCUCAGGUGCAACGCCACAAUAUGAGAGCCCAUCCUUACCAAAGAGUAGUGAACACCGACAGAGGUCAGUUAGAUCACCAGACUGUCUGCCACGGCAACUAACCCCUGACCUCUGCCCACUGAUGACCCACCCGACUCCGCCUGUGCCUCGCUCGUUGCCAUGCUCUGGACAGCAGCCACGCCCCUCCCCCAGAGUCACCUCUGCCUAACCAACCAGAGACCAGCGGCCAUGGUAACGACCCUUCAGGACCCAAUCAGGACCCAGUCACCAGCCACACCCACCCAAACACUACACUAUCAAGCCAUGUGCCCCUUUUAUAGGAAACCCCACAGCCAAACCACCCAACCACAACCCGCUUUAACCAAAUCUCCCCAAUCUGCACUGGUCAGAAAACCUGGCUCUAUUCCUUGCCCUGCACUGAGUCGAUGAGGAGCUAUAAAAUUAUAAUAAUUCAAUCAUCCAAAUAAUAACAGUCAUAUGUGUGAUCAUAAUUAUACUUGUUCGAGCACACUGACCCUCCACGCCCACUAGUCUGACUGUCCCUGUUCUCAAAACGUUACUGUCACACAAAACGUUACUUAGAUCGGGUUUACCAGGUCACACCAGUUUCACACGAUGUCCUCUCUAAGACUGUUGCACCAUGCCUGCCUUUCUACAGUGAGCUGAGCCUAUCUAAUGUGUAAGAUCUAAGCUCUUCAGGUAUAGUCUCAACCACAACGUUACAGUAUUAUAGAAAUGCGGAGAACAAAGUGCCUUUUAGUUAUUUAAAUAGAUCUGUUACAGACCAGCCUUUUUAUGAAGGCUUUCUAAUCUCCAUGAAAGAGGAAUAACCUGACGCCAUCUUGUCUAUCUCUCGACACAGUGAAAGAGAUGUGGUGUAUUUUACAGAAACCAUCUCAAUGUUGGGGUUUAACAUAAACCCACACGUCUUCUGGGUUUAGAGUGAAGUGCCAAAUGGUCAGUUCCUUCCGUUAGUGCAGUAGGACCUUCUCAGAACAGUAUUAAUGUUGUGUGUUUAUCUUAUUUUGGGGAGUGAUGUUUAUGUAUUUCUGUGCGUGUCUGCCUUUGAGAACACACUCUAUCGUAUAGUGUUGUGUUAUUAGAUGUGUGUGUGUGUGUGUGUGUGUGUGUGUGUGUGUGUGUGUGUGUGUGUGUGUGUGUGUGUGUGUGUGUGUGUGUGUGUGUGUGUGUGUGUGUGUGUGUGUGUUACAUAUUUGAGCCCCUAACUCACCUCUUGCCAAGCGGUUGUUUUUACUCCACACAAACCGUCUCCUUCAAGACAAAACAUGGACACUACUGUACAUGUAUAACAUCUGUAACAUCUGUUUUAUAAUACAAUUUUAUAUUAUAUUUUUUAUGUGAGAAAUAACAUUAAAUUAUGUUUUCAGAUAAGAACAGUAUACCUUACUAUGAAUAUAUUUUUUCAUUCAGUUUAAGAGCUAAUAUUGCCUCCAACCAAUGUGCCAUUCACAAAGUGUCCGGAGUGUUUUUAAAGUCCUGAUAUACUGAAAACCUUCACAUUUUCUGUAAGAUUCUUGUUUUUCAAGUUCAUCUCAGUGUUGCUUACCUUCUGUAACUUCUGUAUGUAAAGAAGGAUGAUUAACUCUGUAGUACUGAAUAUUAAUCUACUCUUUGUACUAACUGACCAGUCCUGUACUUUUAACCGCUUUACUCAUAUCUGUCUCUGCUUUGGUUUCUUUUCAAAUAUAAACUGUGUGAAUCAGAUAAUUAAAAAGUGUUGUUAAUGUUUAACUUUUUAAAAGCUGGUAAAAAAAAAAAUAACUCUUUGUACUGGAAAACGAUAACAUAUUAUUAAACUGGUAGUUUAAAAAAACUAACAAACUUUGUCACUUUUCUCUGUAGCAUCUAAAGUUUCCUCAGAGCUUCCUUUCUGUGUACUAAUCUUAGACACACUGCAGAUACUAUUGGAAUACACUUAUAUGCUUUAGAAAGAAAGUACGCUAGACAUACUUGUUUCCCCUUCCCCCUCAUCUCUCUGGCUCUCUCCCACUCAAACAGCUAGACAGAUUUUAAAAAGGAGAUUCCAAGAUGAUGGGCAAUCUGAAGCAAAUCGAUUGUGCAACCUAACCUCACUCACUCACUCACUCACACCUACCUACCCACACACAAACAUGCAAACGCAUCUGCUGAGCGAACUAUACUGGAACACUGUGGCUCUCCCUAACGUAUAGUAUCUCUCUCAUUCCACGGUUAAUUACAGCCAUGUGUCAUAUUUUAACUGGUGUACAUUCUCUCUCUCAAAGACUGCACCCAAGCACACAUACGGUAUAUAGACCUAUAAAAUAUUUAUUUGACAGGGCUGUCAGUUGGUUGUUCUCUCCCUGCCCUUCCUGCACCCUCUCUGGGUGUAACGAGGUAAUUGAGCCCCAGGCUUGGCUCUGGGCCUGUGUUCUGGAUACUGCCCCUGCAGCUGUUGGGGGAGAAGGAGUAUGAUCUGGCAACCCGCUGGACUAGAGUGUGGGAGCAAGAACAUCAAUAUGACAUUCCUAUGGAAGGAGAGUGGGCUAAAAGAGAAAGAUUGAGAAUGAGUGCGAGGGAGAAGAAGAAAUGCCAAGGAAGAGAAGAUAAAGGUUUGCCUUUCCCCAUAUGCUCCCUUUUCCUACUGCGUCAUUCUCCCAUUUGGGGUUUGAGGCAGAUGCACCUGUCAGAAACAUCUAGAACACUGUGUGUGUGUGUGUGUGUGUGUGUGUGUGUGUGUGUGUGUGUGCGCGCACGCGCUCUCGAUUUUGGCUGUUCCUGUUUUGUCUAGUUUUAUGAUGUUCAGUCCAGGAUCCAGUGAUGGAAAAAGUACCUUAAUAGAAAAUUACUCAAGUGAAAGUAACCCAGUAAAAUACUAUUUGAGUAAAAGUCAAAGUAUUUUGUUGUAAAUAUACUUAAGUAUCAAAAGUAUAUGUAAUUGCUCAAAUAUACUUGGGUAUCAAAAGUAAAAGUAUAAAUCGAUUCAAAUUCCUUAUAUUAAACAAAACUGGGUAGCCAGGGGCACACCUACACUCAUACAUAAUUUACAAACGAUGCAUUUGUGUUUAGUUAGUCAGCCCGAUCCGAGGCAGUAGAGAUGACCAGGAUGUUCUCUUGAUAAGUGUGUGAAUUGGACUAUUUUCCUGUCCUGCUAAGCAUUCCAAAUGUAACAAGUACUUUUGGGUGUCAGGGAAUAUGUACAUUAUUUUCUUAACAAAUGUAGUGAAGUAAAAGUUUUCAUAAAUAUAAAUAGUAAAAGUAUUUUUUCUUAAGUACUUAACACCACUGCCAGGAUCUCCAUGUGGUAAGCUCCUCUCCUCUCUGUCUAAUCUAGCCUACAGACAAUACUAGCCCACAGCUUCCAACACUCGGAUAACCAUGUCAUUGCUACCUUGAAAGGAAAUUCCAUAUAGCAAGUCAAAACGUACAAAUAUCUGGGAGUUUGAGUGAAUGAGAAGCUGAGCUUCACUAAUCAUGUUGAGAAGCUGGUAAAGAAGCUCAAGUUGGGCCUCCCGAGUGGCGCGGCGGUCUACGGCUUCACUACAGACGCAGGUUCGAUCCCAGGCUGUGUAACAGCCUGCCGAGACCCAUGAGGCGGCACACAAUUGGCCUAGCAUCGUUCGGGUUAGGGGAGUGUUUGGCCGGCCAGGAUUUCCUCCCAUCACGCUCUAGCGACUCCUUGUGGAGGACCGGGCGCCUGUAAGCUGACCUGGGUCGCCAGCUGGACGGUGUUUCCUCCGACACAUUGGUGCGGCUGGCUUCCGGUUUAAGCGAGCAGUGUCAAGAAGCAGUGCAGCUUGGCAGGGUCGUGUUUUGGAGGACGCAUGGUUCUCGACCUUCGCCUUUCCCAAGUCCAUAGGGGAGUUGCAGCGAUGAGACAAGACUGUAACUACCAAUUGGAUAUCACGAAAUUGGAGAGAAAAAAUUGUAAAAGUAAAAAAAUUAAAAGAAGCUCAUGUUGAGAAUAGGUUUUUAUUACCUUCAUAAGGCUUGUUUUUCUUUGGAGCCAGAAAAGCACUGAUACGGCGUACAUUCCUGUCUGUGUUGGACUACAGUGAUGUAAUUUACAUGCAAACCUCAAGUUCUACCCUGAAGACACUUGAUUCUGUGUAGCAUGCAGCCUUUAAGAUUGCCACCAACCAACAAUUUGUCAGGGCAUGGAAUCUACAAGGUGUGGAAAGCGUUCCACAGGGAUACUGGCCCAUGUUGACUCCAAAUCUUCCCACAGUUGUCAAGUUGGCUUGAUGUCCUUUGGGUGGGUGACACUACACACAGGAAACUGUUGAGCGUAAAAAAUCCAGCAGCGUAGCAGUGUUGCAGUUCUUGACACAAAACAAUGUGCCAGGCACCUACUACCAGACCAUAGCUGAAACACCAGAAUCUUGUUUCCUUGGAGUUUAAACAUUUGCUUGACUCACAUGUUACUGAGGAAUGUGAUUGUCAUUAGGACUUCAUGCGGUGGUACAUACGUUUGAAUGUUUCUGUAAUUGUAACGCAUAAAUGUUGUUUAUGGUGUGUCUAUGCCUGAUAUUUGUCUGAAACAUGGUUCCCCCUGUCUUGUUUGGACCAGGUCUCACUUGAAAAAUGCAUUUGAUCUCAAUGAGAUUAACCUGGAUAUAUAAAGGCUAUAUCAAAUAAAAUUUUAAAACACA